rnacentral:rRNA from 1 species
UACGUAGGCAGCGAGCGUUGUUCGGAGUUACUGGGCGUAAAGGGUGUGUAGGCGGUUUUCUAAGUUUGGUGUGAAAUCUCCCGGCUCAACCGGGAGGGUGCGCCGAAAACUGGGAGACUAGAGUGCGGGAUGGGAGAGUAGAAUUCCUGGUGUAGCGGUGAAAUGCGUAGAUAUCAGGAGGAAUACCGGUGUUGUAGACGGCUCUCUGGACCGCCACUGACGCUGAGACACGAAAGCGUGGGUAGCAAACAGG